GACGAACGCUGGCGGCGUGCUUAACACAUGCAAGUCGAACGGAAAGGCCUGCUUUCCCUUGUGGAUUGCGGGUACUCGAGUGGCGAACGGGUGAGUAACACGUGAGUGAUCUGCCCCCAACUUGGGUAUAAGCCUGGGAAACUGGGUCUAAUUCCCGAUAGGACUGCAGGGUGGUGCCUGUGGUGGAAAACGAUUUUCUAGUGGUUGGGGAUGAGCUCGCGGCCUAUCAGCUUGUUGGUGGGGUAAUGGCCUACCAAGGCGGCGACGGGUAGCCGGCCUGAGAGGGUGGACGGCCGCAUUGGGACUGGGAUACGGCCCAGACUCCUACGGGCGGCAGCAGUGGGGAAUAUUGCACAAUGGGCGGAAGCCUGAUGCAGCGACGCCGCGUGGGGGAUGACGGCCUUCUGGUUGUAAACUCCUUUCGACCGCGAGGAAGCCACCUGGUUGGAAGGGUGGUGACGGUAGUGGUAGAAGAAGCACCGGCUAACUACGUG
rnacentral:rRNA from 1 species